rnacentral:rRNA from 1 species
ACGAACGCUGGCGGCGUGCUUAACACAUGCAAGUCGAACGGAAAGGCCCUGCUUUUGUGGGGUGCUCAAGUGGCGAACGGGUGAGUAACACGUGAGUAACCUGCCCUUGACUUUGGGAUAACUUCAGGAAACUGGGGCUAAUACCGGAUAGGAGCUCCUGCUGCAUGGUGGGGGUUGGAAAGUUUCGGCGGUUGGGGAUGGACUCGCGGCUUAUCAGCUUGUUGGUGGGGUAGUGGCUUACCAAGGCUUUGACGGGUAGCCGGCCUGAGAGGGUGACCGGCCACAUUGGGACUGAGAUACGGCCCAGACUCCUACGGGAGGCAGCAGUGGGGAAUAUUGCACAAUGGGCGGAAGCCUGAUGCAGCAACGCCGCGUGCGGGAUGACGGCCUUCGGGUUGUAAACCGCUUUCGCCUGUGACGAAGCGUGAGUGACGGUAAUGGGUAAAGAAGCACCAGCUAACUACGUG